GCUUUAUAUGUGUUGUUAAAAUGAGCUGCAAAAUACAAAUUAAAAAAAAAACUUGCAGUUUUAAAUGUGAUAAAAGAAAAAAAAGCAUUUUAUUUGCUAGUUUUAAAAACAACAGAAUAAGUUAACAAAUUAGAUAAACAGGCAGCAUGGGAGGAUGUGUUAUAAAAAGCCCAAUCCCUACAACUGGCGUCAGCACAAAAAACAUGGACCUAUGCAAGGGACAGUUUGUUUGGGCUCUGGAAGAGCCGGACAAUGAGUAAAAGGGAUAACGCCCGAAAUACUGGAUCCGGAGGUGGGAAGGAGAAGGUAAUGGAUGAAGCUGACUUGGCCAUACUCGAUAUUCUGGAAUCAGACUCAGCUGUGGUAGAUGGUUUGAAUUUGCCAGAAAG